GUGCCAGCAGCCGCGGUAAGACGUAGGGGACGAGCGUUGUCCGGAUUUAUUGGGCGUAAAGAGCGCGUAGGCGGCCACGCAAGUCGGAUGUGAAACCCCGGGGCUCAACCCCGGGCCUGCAUCCGAUACUGCAUGGCUAGAGGUAGGUAGGGGAGAUCGGAAUUCCUGGUGUAGCGGUGAAAUGCGCAGAUAUCAGGAGGAACACCGGUGGCGAAGGCGGAUCUCUGGGCCUUACCUGACGCUCAGGCGCGAAAGCUAGGGGAGCGAACAGGAUUAGAUACCCUGGUAGUCCUAGCCGUAAACGUUGGGUGCUAGGUGUGGGUGGACAUCAACCCCAUCCGUGCCGUAGCUAACGCAUUAAGCACCCCGCCUGGGGAGUACGGCCGCAAGGCUAAA
rnacentral:rRNA from 1 species